GAAAUUUAUAAAAAUGACCAUAUAAUUGAUAUUCAUGUCAACACGGAAGUGCUGACUACUGGGCUGCAGAAACCCUCGGGAACGAAAUCGUUUCUAAAAGGUAUCGUGUAUUUAACAGUCUCUUGCACUACAGGAAGCAAUAAUUGUUGAAUUGGUCUUGAACACCUAUAAUGCAAUUGUAUUCUUCAUCUGCCAUAUGUAAUAUCUUCUCCUGUACGAAAUAUGUUCCUAGUUCUUUAUCUGAUUCAAGCCAAUAAAAACUU
rnacentral:lncRNA from 1 species